AAGCUUAGGUUAAACAAACCAGAGGCCUUCAAAGCCCCAAACAAGAGAUUUAAAUCCUCCUAGCUCCU
rnacentral:tRNA from 1 species